CCUGGGGACUCUACGGGAGGCAGCAGUAGGGAAUCUUCCGCAAUGGACGAAAGUCUGACGGAGCAACGCCGCGUGAGUGAUGAAUGCCUUCGGGUCGUAAAGCUCUGUUGUUAGGGAAGAACAAGUACCAGAGUAACUGCCUUGUCCUUGACGGUACCUAACCAGAAAGCC
rnacentral:rRNA from 1 species